rnacentral:rRNA from 1 species
UACAGAGGGUGCGAGCGUUAAUCGGAGUUACUGGGCGUAAAGGGCGCGUAGGCGGUAAGAUGUGUGUGAUGUGAAAGCCCCGGGCUUAACCUGGGAAGUGCAUCGCAAACUAUCUAACUAGAGUAUAUGAGAGGGUGGCGGAAUUUCCGGUGUAGCGGUGAAAUGCGUAGAGAUCGGAAGGAACGUCAAUGGCGAAGGCAGCCACCUGGCAUAAUACUGACGCUGAGGCACGAAAGCGUGGGGAGCAAACAGG